GGCAGCUCUCAGGUGAUGCACCCAGGAAUUGGGCUCCCUUCUCUCUGGUUCCAAGUGCAUCACCUGAGAACCGCA
rfam:Myotis lucifugus cont2.59374, whole genome shotgun sequence.